UCUUAAAUCAUUUAAAAUGGUUCUUGAGAUAACGUAAGGGACAAAAAUGAUACGUACCUUACUAUAAGUGUUGUCCAACAUUACUGGUGCCAGAAGACUCGGUAACGCCAGAAACGCAAACGUUAGUCGUCUUAAUCAGGCGUAAAGGGUAAGUAGGCUGCUUUAACAGUUAUUAAAUAGAAAGCUCUUUAAAUUAAAAAUUAAAGUAAAUAAUAAUGAAUUAAAGCUAGAAUCAAAUAGAGGAUAAGACAAAUAACGCUAAGAGUAAGGCUGAUAUCUGUAGAUACUUAGCGGAAUACUAAAGGUGAAAACUUUUAUCUACUAUUGAUUGACGCUGAGGAACGAAGGUGAGAAUAGAAAACAGGAUUAGAGACCCAGGUAUCUCUCACUGUCAACGAUGAAUGGUGGUUGUUAGUUUUCGCAAAAAUAAACUAGUAACGAUGUUAACGCGAUAACCAUUCCGCCUUGCGAGUAC
rnacentral:rRNA from 1 species